GACGAACGCUGGCGGCGUGCCUAAUACAUGCAAGUCGAACGAGAGCGACCGGUGCUUGCACUGGUCAAUCUAGUGGCGCACGGGUGAGUAACACGUGGGUAACCUGCCCAUCAGAGGGGGAUAACAUCCGGAAACGGGUUCUAAAACCGCAUAGGUCUUCGAACCGCGUGGUUUGAAGAGGAAAAGCGGCGCAAGCUUCUGCUGAUGGGUGGACCCGCGGUGCAUUAGCUAGUUGGUGAGGUAACGGCUCACCAAGGCCGUGAUGCAUAGACGAACUGAGAGGGUGAUCGGCCACAUUGGGACGGAGACACGGCCCAAGCUCCUACGGGAGGCAGCAGUAGGGAAUCUUCCGCAAUGGACGCAAGUCUGACGGAGCAACGCCGCGUGAGUGAAGAAGGUUUUCGGAUCGUAAAACUCUGUUGUUAGAGAAGAACAAGUGCUAGAGUAACUGUUAGCGCAUUGACGGUAUCUAACCAGAAAGCAACGGCUAACUACGUG
rnacentral:rRNA from 1 species